UGCAACAACCAAGCCUACACGCUGGUGUUC
rnacentral:sRNA from 1 species